rnacentral:lncRNA from 1 species
AUCACCUGUCACUUCCUAUCAGCAUACCAGUCACACUUCUCCUGUGAGGAUCUGUGUGGAGUUUCUGGGGGAAGUCUAGCUCACUUGUGCUGAGAUGCUCAGCUGGCAGGGAGCCCGAGACCACUCCAUCAUCGCAGGUCACAUCGGAAAGCCUCAUCAGAACUGCUCUUCUCUUCAGAAAGAUGUCUCAGAGGGUUUCCAGGGUGAUUCAGAACAUCCUCCUGAGAUGCUGAGAGACUCAGGUCAGAGGAUGCGUCUAGACGCAGGAGUCUACACUGUUUCCCAAGCAUCAUCAAACCCUGCAAUAGUCUUUCAAAUCUGCCCUAGCCAUUGAAAAGGAGUCCUCGGGUGUACAUUUGCAUCUUUCUGCUUCUACCCUCAGCUAUCCAUGGAAACCACAUACCCCAAACACUCCAGGAGAGUUCUAACAUCAAAUAUUCUCGUCUUUCUGAUUGCAUCAACUCUUCAGAGCCCACAGGCUCCAGGCUUUGGUUCAGAAAAUACCGCAUACUUAGUUUCAUUACUGACCUGCCCCCAUCCCAUCCCCAUCCCCAUCCCCCCAUGUCAGGGGAAAAGAGUAGAUGGUAAGUUACAUUUUGCUUUCAAGUCUCUUUAGCUGUGAUCCUGCCAUUGUCAGGAAUUUUGUAUGGCACAUACUGUACAGAUUUCUAUGCAUGAUGUUUAAGAACUGAGACAUAUUUAAAUUUGCACAUUGGCCCUUUGGGAGUGACAGCCGGCACUGCCUCUCCAUUUGUGUCAUCAUUUCAUUAGUAACUAUGCAUAACAAAUGUGAGCCUCUGGUGAAAAAGAUGAUAGCAAUAGCAAAACAUUAACCCUUAAAGGAAAGCUUUGAGAAAAGUCCAGUUAAGGUCUCCAGUCAAAUUAGCCUCUGUAAAGUUUAGGUAUAAAUAAAAACAAUCAGGGAAGCUCUUGGACCUCCUUG